UCCGUUUGACGUAGAUAAAACGAAUUAGUCUCAUGUAACCGGUGCCGUAGAUCCGUUUGUGGGGAGCUGAUGCGCAUUAGCGUAGUGCGUAUUUGGAACGGAUCGCUCAUGUAACCCCGGUAUAGGUAAAACCGGUUUGCCGCCACAACACUAAGGUAUUUUAACCACUUUUUUCAGCUGGCCUUCUCAGUCCAAAAAAAGAAACUAGGCCACGUAUCUUUAUGUGUUUUAUUAUUUAUAUAUAAAUUGGCAAUAAACGUGCACAGGGCAAGAAUAGCGUAACUCUGUAAAGUAUUUGCGAAGAUAAUUUUUUGACCGACCACGCCAUUUCGAAAAUAAUAUAUCUUUGGUUGUAGGAGUUUGUUAUUGAUGAAAUCAUAUUUUUAUCCUUAAAAAUUAAAAUUAAUAGUAAAAAAGUAUUAUCAAAUGCCAAUACUGUUUCAUUCAAUUUCGAAACCACCAAGCUCAGCAAAUGGCGGGCCCACCUGACCAGCCAACGUUUUACCACAAAUUCUCGAAUAAAAUCAGUUGUAUAGGUUGUAAAUCAUGAUUGAACAAUAUCAAAAUUGAAUUAUCUUUCCGAUUUUAUGUGUUAUUUCAUUUGUUCAUGCUCAAAACUAGAAUAAAUCGAUGUUGAAUGUAAAACCACCUUUGGUGAUCUUGGUCACACUGUUUCACUGGAUGUAAUGGUUUUCAAAAACAAGACCGAGUCGGCGUCUGAAACGUUCACCAAAAUAUGCAGAAAUGCUGACAUUAUAAGGUGUCAAAGUAUCAAAGCUCAUCUAAUGGGGGAACAUUGUCAAUUUUGCUUCCGAAUCCGAAAGUUGGCAUUUUGGGUACCAAUCAACUCCGAACAAAAAACAUAGAUGCUCGGUAAACAUGGUGGUGAUGGAUUCGCAAAAGGUCUUAAUCAAAAUGAAAAUUUUAUUUUCUUCCCAAGUAUGCAUGUUUUAUUGCAGUUUCGGUGCUAUAAGUUACAUAUUUUUGGUCUAUAAUGUAUCAGCCUCCUUGCUGUUUGAGGUCACACUGUAACAGUUAGUGGCAUAUUACUAAAAAAUAAGACCGAGUCGGCAUCUAUUGAGGGUACUAUAUGUAACAGAAUUUAAUUUUCUAUCUGAUGUUAUAAGUUUCAAAACAUGACUAAUGGGGGAACAUUACGAAAUUCGAUGUUAAAAACUGCUGACCACGAUUUUACACCCACAGCUGCUCACGGUUUCGUGUACUGCAAAUGCUGCUAAUAUAGUUCUGACGCUAGCAGACGCACGUUUUUGCAUUCAAUUGGCUGCCACGGUGUUCCAUGUGAUGAUAGAGAACAUCCCUGGUUUUCGACCUUUCUGUGUUGUGUAUAUUUGUUUAUUAGGCACAUUUCAAUUCAAAUUUGAUUUUGGUUCUCUCACUUCUGCCUGGGUCUUGGAGUUGUGGAUAUAUUUUGUGGAGCGUGGAGCAUCGGAGAUUUGUGGAGUAUUGGAUUGGCCUGGUGUCAGUAUUCUUUGGUGUUUUUUUAUAGAUAUUUUCAUAGGCUACAAUGCCACCAGGAAGACCACUGACCAAGACCAAGACAGUGCUCAUGCCCGAAUCAUCGGCAACACAGGAUGGCAAACUUCGCCUCCCCUGGCUUGUAUGAAGCCUUGAUUUCCAUUUAAGGAAGUAAGUCUGUGCCCAAAUGGAUGAUGCACGUGUUGGGCAUUUUUGCAAAACAAAGAGGUUGAAAGGGUUCAUUUGCCGAGGCUGUAUGGAGUACGCCAAGCAAUGUCAUGCUGAUGGGGAGACGUGAGUAUGACAAUGAAACAGACUACAAUUCUUGGCGAAAGGGCUAGCAAAAUGCAUCAUUGAGUUUGACAAUUCUGUACCAGUCAUUGUCAAUUAAGCUGGAAAUCUGGGUAACUGUAAAGCUGGGGUCACCGUCAGCAUAUAGGUAUCAGUCGGGCAAGCUGCAGGGAGGUAAUCUAAAAUAAGAUUAAUCUAAUAUAAGAAUAUGACGUCACCCAAAUGGGCUGAGUGAUGACCAUAUAAGGAGUGAUGAUCAAUAUUUAGACUAUAUUUCCGACAUGUCCACAUUUGAACCCUCCACAAUCAUCGAAGAACUGCUCAUAACCACAAUAUUUUUUGUUGACUGACAGACAAAACAUGAUCCUACAAAUUGUGAACUGGCCAGCUCAUUUGAGAUUGGAAUUUGUCACUGGUGACCAAGAUAUUUGGGUAUUAGUAGAGCAGAUGUUACACAGAGGUUUUACAACUGAGGAGAAGUGCUCUUAUGCUUCUUGCUUCCAGAGAUGCUUCUUUUUAACACCAAACCAAACCUUACCUGACAUAAUCUAACCUACAAGUCAGCAUACAACCUAAAACCCUACAACCUACAAACCUACAGCUGUGCCUCUCCUUGGUUGGAAACCCUUCCUAUGAGCAUCCUGCUCUCUUUGUCUAUUUAUCUACUUGGUAAGCAUAAGCGCCUUCAUUUGACAUCUGCUCUACUAGUGCCGUUAAUUUUAAUUUGUAACUUAACCAAACCAAACCUAACCUAACCCAAAGCCUGCUCAUAACUGUGAUAAGUUGCAGUCCUAACUCCUAACAUCACUUUGAUUCUCCUCAGCCAAUUACAUCAAGAGGGAGACCACACUGACAGGGGUCCAAGAUCCAACUCAGGCCCUUUUUGUAAGUGUGGAUGUCCUGACCUGUAGCCAGAAGCACUGCCACUGGAGCACAGCAGCUAAUUCCCUAUCUUCCUUCCAGCUCCACAAUGGUCUGCAUUUCUGCAAUGGUCUCAACAGGCCUAACUGAACACAAAAGGCAUUUUCACUUGUUAACAGUUUAAGACUAAUAUUAUUCUAAAAACAGUUGUACAGCAAUGUAUAAUGAAAUAGAUAUACGGUGUAUAUGAAUAGAAUUAGGUUUGCUGAGACUUGUACUUUAUGAACUUGAACAGUGAACACUAGAGUAACUAAUUCAACUAUUUCUUGUUAUUCAGACUGCCCGCCAGUGGACGGAGGCCCGGCGACGGACGCUGGCUCAGUGGCCAACAGUGGUCCGCCAGCCGGCUGAUGGUGGCUCGCCGACCGACGCCGGCCCGUCGGCUGACCACGGCAUUCCGGCUGAUGGUGGCCCGCCAGCCGACGGAGGUCCGCCGGCCAUUCGUGGCACGCCCGCUGACGGCAGCUCGACGACACGUCCUGGCUAUGCCACCCCCAAGAUUACUUCGCCCCCCAGUCCAUAGGUCACCAGUUGCGGGCGCUUCAUCUGACAGUGUCGUCCGACGGCUCCACGGUGACCAGCGCCGCCACUGCGGAAACCAUCCGACCCCGAAAAUGCUGCUAGCCGUACACGAACAAAGGGCGCCGGGCACCCAGGACCAGCGCCCUGCUCCGAGGCGGUGUCCAAAGAAGGCUGCACAGUGCACUUGCUGUGCUAAGGCAUAGUGCGCGCUGACUGAUAGGAACAAAUGACGGUCAGUUAUCAGAUUUCAGUAUGGAACUCAAGAUGGUCGGAGCCGACCUGGCUCGGUGGAUGGUGUGCCAGGGUUGAUUAAGUGUCGAAAGGAGUGAGACGCCCAGAUAUGUGAAGGAUACGUCGAUACGAGCCCCGGCUUCGACUCCCCGUCCCAAAACGAUGUUGGUUGUGAUUGGAGGAUUCCCCCACCCCCACCCCCACCCAUCCCGGAAUUUGUGCUAUGUAAUAGGACGAUAAUAUGUCGUGGUCUCAUUCUGGCUCGAUAUGGUAAUAGGUACUUAAUUGGACAGAUGCUGAUGGUAUUGGUGGUGGAUGUAAAUGGCAGGUUUGGCGAGCGCGAAUUAAUAAUCGUGAGUGCACUAGCUGCAAUCAGUCGCGCGCUUAUUGCUGAGCACCUGUGAGCAAGAAAAUUAUAUGAAUGUGGUAGUUCGUCGUGAAAUCUGUGUACUUUUGGAUUAAGCUGUCAGAACAUAAGUGUAUUUUUGCCGUGUCCACUGCAGCUCUGAAACAGAAACAUGGAGAUCGGCUGUGUGCUGUAGCUGCGGGGACAAGAAGUCCGCGCGUGCAAAAAAUCAAAGGUGAUAUGUGAAUUUAAGUGAAUAUACCUCGCUAUAUUUUCAAUUUUAUUAUUACAACAAAUGCGUCGACUGCUGAUUACCCUCGGGUCCUAACAAUAACGUUUGCAAUACUGGAAAGUACAUAGACAAUUGAUACCCUUGCGACCGACUGGCGCGAUCCGAGAAUCUCUCUCACUGUUUUUGCUGACCUACACACGAAAACACGGCCGCAUAGCUACCAUCGAGAGCACGGAACGAUGCUGGUGACUGACGGACCAGCGAAAAUAGAGCUCCCGUCUACUCGCGGAACAGCGCUGAUUGGCGCGGCUCACAGACUCCAUUGGCUCAUCAGAGUUCAGACUGUUGACGGUUGUUGCUCCUCCCUCCCCUCCCCGAGAGGGCGUAGCCAAGUAGCUUAGUUGUGUGCGCAGCGGGCGGUCUUUUUGCAUCUGUGUAACAGUUGAGUGGAUGGUAUCCAGACGAGCUAGGCGUCGGCGUCGCCCUUCCAGCGGCCGGGCAGCGCAGGUGGACGUGCCGCGGAUGGUCCGCCUCCGAUCUCGGCACACUCUGCAGAGUGCGGCUGGACGCUCCACGGAGUUGCAUAGCGUCGAUAGGCCGUAUGGUGUCGCUGUCGUAAUUAUAAAAGCGUAAGUAGAAGGUUGAAGCAAUAUAGAAUGCUAUCUUUUUCGAGCUUUGUUGCACAUAAUUUAGUAGGUAUUGGCCGUUUCUUUACAAAUAAUAUCGCAAAGCACAGCUGGUAACGAUAUGUGCGCGUCGGUUGCGGCGGUAAUCGUCGAAAAAAUAUAUAAUUUAUGAACGUU